AUUGAACGCUAGCGGCAGGCCUAACACAUGCAAGUCGAACGAGUGGCGGACGGGUGAGUAAUGUCUGGGAAACUGCCUGAUGGAGGGGGAUAACUACUGGAAACGGUAGCUAAUACCGCAUACCAUCGGAUGUGCCCAGAGUGGAUUAGCUAGUAGGUGGGGUAACGGGUCACCAAGGCGACGAUCCCUAGCUGGUCUGAGAGGAUGACCAGCUGUACGUGAACUGAGACACGGUCCAGACUCCUACGGGAGGCAGCAGUGGGGAAUAUUGCACAAUGGGCGCAAGGCUGACGCAGCCAUGCCGCGUGUAUGAAGAAGGCUUUCGGGUUGUAAAAUGCUGUCAGCGAGGAGGCGUUACUCGCAGAAGAAGCACCGGCUAACUCCGUGCCAGCCGCCGCGGUAAUAC
rnacentral:rRNA from 1 species